GCAAGACAUAUCUCUGUGUCAACAGUUAAUUUUUUUAUUUGACUGUAUUUUAUUUCAUAUUUUGUUUUACUAAUGUAUUUCGUAAAUCAUUUAUAAUCUUCAUAGGUGCUCUCCAGAAUUCAAGAAAGAAAACUCUCGACUCAGUCCGAUAUAUGGAGUUAUGGGAUUGUGUUGUGGGAGAUAUUUUCGUAUGGGAAACAUCCAAACAUUUGUGGAACAGACACAGAGAUGAAUAAAAUUGCAGAGUUCAUUAUAAAUAAGGGAUGUCAUUUAGCUCAGCCAGAACAAUGCCCUGAUCAUGUAUAUCUACUAAUGAAAGAUUGUUGGCAAAUGGAACCAAAACAACGGCCAAGUUUUUCAGGAUUAGUUCAACAUUUCAGUAAGUUGAACACACCUUUUUACUCAGUUUUUUUUUUUCUAUCUGCACACAUAUAACCCAAAACUUCAAAAAAAACCUUAAACGAAUGUUCCAAGGUAUUGUUUAUAUGAUAUCUAAAAUGAUAAAAAAAAAAUGGCACGUCUAUACAACAAAAGAGUUCAACAGUUAAAUGUCUUUGUCUCUGUGGACGAACAGGAAUUGAAAAAAUAAAGGUUUACUGUUUUGAAGGUAUCUGCUGAACUGGUGUAAUAUCUUUAUGAAUUGUUCUUGAUAACAAAUUUUACUUUAAAUAGAAGGAAAAACAGUCUCAAAAAAUUUACAAUUGGAAGAAUUACAAGUUUUCAUUUCUGUUAUCAUGUGAAUGACUGCUAAGGGUGACUGGGGAAAAUAAAUAUGAUCACUUGGUCUUCUACCGACUGGCAGUAAAACGCUAGCCGAAGAGGGGUGUCCGUUUGGCUGUGCGGGAUGUAUUAAGUUCGCAGUCACGUCUGGUCAGAAUGGGGACAUUAAAUCCGAUGUCUCAUGUAAAGAGAGUGCCACAGUCUUUGCAUGUUAAGAAUCCUUGCAACAACUCUUUAAGGGCCUGUAGGUGGCAUUUUGCAAGGCAAAAUUGCUGUUCCUAUCUAAUAUACCCUCAGUUUUCAGUGGCAGUCUAAAUUUCCCCGACCUUCAUCCCUAAUGGCCUCUGUUAUGACAAGACCUACCUAUUGUAUUUAUUGUGAACUUGUUCUCGUCCUGAAUAUGCAUGAUUAUUUGCCCAAGAUCGCUUUUUCACGUUAUAGUUAAUUAUUUUAAAGUUCAACUCGUGAGAGUGAAAUUUGUUGUUCAAACAGAGCUAUUUGCAAUUAGAUGAUUGCCAAAAAUUACAAUUAUGAUACUUUAUAAUUAGCAUGGCUAGAAAAAUAAAAUUUUCUAGACAGUUAUGAUUCAGUUAUAAGGAACAGGUGAUCAAAUUAUAUUGAAUAAAAUGUAUUUGAAAGUCCUUACAUAAUGAGACAAUUAAUGUAAAAUCUUAAAGAAAAUGUGAGAGCUCUGCACACUGGGGUUUAAAAUUAAAAGAAAACACAAAAAGGCAAGGAACAAUCUUAAUUACACAAUGAACAGUUUCGCAUAACAAGCCAUUGUCAAUAUACAUACGAGACCAAUACAGUAUUAUUUACUUACACUAGUAUGUUCAAAAGUUAUAAUGUACAUAAAAGCUUCCUUCUAUUGAAAUUGUUAAACCUGGAUUUAUAGACCACCAGUAUAAAGAGACCACUUUUGCAUUCUCCCUUGAGUGGUCUGUUAAUACAGGUUUGACUGUAUUUGUAUUUCAUGCCAGUAAAGAAGUACUGGCUACUGGCCUAGACUGAUGAUACCCUAAGGGGCUAACAGUUCACUUAACUUUGAACAAUACAUUGUUAUAUUUCAUUACAGUUCGUAUGUUAGUCCAGUGAAUGAUGUCUAAACGGAGGUAAAAGCACCCAUGGCCAGUAGGGACAGAUACAAGGAAGACAAAGACCCAUAGAACAUAACAUUUGUACAUAGUAUAGAAACAAAUCAAGUUUAUUAUCAAGGCAACAACUUUCUAGUCCAAAAGUCAGAUUAUUUUUGUAUACAUUUGUAUGUUGUUUAAAUUUCUCUCUUGGUCCAAUUGAUGUGAGAAAAAAAAUUGAAAGAUAUUUUUAAAUUAUAAAUCAAAUUUCAAAUUUGGUUUUUCAUUCUACAUUUGUACAAAGAAUCAAUGUUUUGAAAUCUCCAGAUUGAGGUUAUAAAACAGAUUCAUUUCUGAUGGUAGUUUCUGUUUACAACAUGUUGUUUUAAAAACAUUUUUACCUCAAUGUACCACUUGAUUUGUUCUUAAGGAUCAAACAUCAUAUAUUUGUCUGUAAUAUUGACCUAAUAGUAAUAUGAUAUUUUUUUUUGUUUUUGUUUCUGUUAAUAUGAGGCUGACUUUAUGCAGGAACUUCUUAGGAAGAAAGAUAAGAAGUUAGCGUAAUCCUUUAACUCUACUUUCCGCUAUAUAGAUGAUGUUCUUUCACUAAAUAAUUCAAAAUUUGGGGACCAUGUGGAACGCAUCUUUUCAAACAAUUGCAGACUUUCCAUAGAGAUUUUUUAAAUGGAAAUAAGUUAACAGAUUUAUAUAUUGAUAUUAAUUUGCAUAUAGUUGAUUUCUAUAUGAUGUGACUCCUAUAUUUAUAUUCAUCAUCCAAUUAAAAAUAUUGUUACAGAUAGUUCAAGCAACCAAAUAAUUAUUAUUCACAUUUUGUUAGAUUUAUUCAUUGAACUUAUUUUUUAUUGUUGGCCAGUUGUUGAUUUCUGUAAAUUGUUUGGAGACUGUUUGCCAUAUCUGUUUUUCAUAUAUGUUUUUCUUGACUAAUGAUUUUUAUUGCUAUUUUGUGCAUUUUUCCUUUGAUCUUUUUUUGUGAUAUUUUUCAUAUCAUGCUACUAGCUUGAGAUGGAAAAAUAUCGCUAGAAACAGACACGUGCAUUGCUAACAAAAUUGACAUGAAAUUGACAACGUUGUCAUAGGUAAAAUAGCGAUAAACCGAUUAUCAUUGGUCAUCUCAACUCGAUUACCUUUCUCGCUUUCGCUGUCCUGGCUCAAGCGAGAAAAUCAAUCUCGUUGAGAUGAUCAACGAUAAUCUAUAAGUAUUGUCUCUGUUAUAUCUUUAUAUUUUUGAGAAGUGUUUUACUGACUGUUGAUUAACCUUUUGAGUUCUUUUUGUUGGACAAAUUGCUUUUAUGUGCCCUUUGUAUAUUCCCUUUUUUGUGAGAUAUAUAUUGCAGCCUCCGUAAUAAAGAAUUUCCGGACUAAAAAAAUGUACCACCUUCUUUUUAGCUGUUGUGCUGCAUCAUUUAUUGGAAUGUAGAGUUGAUCUUGAGCAAACUGCUCAAUGUUUUAACAAACCAAAGACAUAGUCACUAAUUAUAAAUUCUUUAGAUUGAAGUAUUUUUUUGUUAUUUUUUGUUAAUAUUGGUGUAAAAUUCAAGAAGAUUUUCAUAUUGUUAUGGUGUUGUAAUCUUUUUUAAAUCAACAAUGCUGAAAAUAAUGAUGUUCAUUUAUUCUCAUGUUUUCAAAGUUGUUUUCAUGUGUUUAUUAUUUAAGCUCUGGUCUAAUUGGAACACAUAUAAAUACAACAUUCUAUUCCUUUAACAUAAAUGUCUUUCUAAAUCAUCCCUAAUACUAAUACAUACAGUUUUGUCAUACAUUUUUUCACAUACUUCUACAAAAAUAUUUCUUGAAAAGUUUUACUAUAUAUGUAUUCUAGUCAUAUUAAAAUCGUAAAAAUUUGCAUUUGUGUUUAACCCAUUAGAUAAUGAAACCAAACCUCACCAAAAUUAUGGCCGAAUAAAAAAAAAAACUCAGACAUUUCUGCAUCUUAUGGUAUCUAUUUUAUAAAAAUCGCUCAUAGAUUUACUUGGUAAUAAUUUUUUGAAAAAAAAUGAUUUUAGUUGAAAUGGUAGGACAUUUUUUGAGUGAGAACUCACUUUUGUCGUAUGACUGUAUAGUUUGUUUUGAUGUUCACUAUAUAAUUAGCUACCAAUUAAUAAAAGAUCAGGAGAGUUAUUAUGUUUAUGAUUUUGUAUAUAAUGUAAAUAAUUGUAUUUAUGGUCAAUGGUUAUUUUAUUAGAUAACUUUGUGUAGAUAAUUACUUAUAAAUUAAUAGUUUUUCUUCUCAAGAUGGUGUUUCUGAUGUAGCCAAGAAGCAUCCUCGAGUUUGAAAGGCGACUUGAUUAUUUGAAAUACAUUGUUUUACUCAACAACAUAAAUGUCAGAAAUAGAUGAAGUUAUACAUUCCCUUUCUACUCCACUGUAUCACUGGAGUAGCAUGAGAUGGAAGUUGCAAUGUAUACAGAAAGAACAAUUAAAGGAAAAUUAAGAAAAUAGUUAUAAUGGAGAGUUGUCUCAUUGCAAUCCAUACCAUAUCUUCUUAUAUCUAUAAACUUUAAUUAUUGGAAUGUAGCUAAUAUGUUGAUAAAAGUGCCAUAUUUGUUAAAGAUAGACCUUAUUUGUGAGUCUGUGACACUCGACAUAAGUUUAGAACAUUUGAACUAUUCACAUUAUAAAACAACCACUUUUCCUUUGUUGUGUAAGAUAUAUUCUGUAGUGAUGUCUUAAUUUUCAGGAAAUGCUGCAAUGACAGAUAAAUAGUGAUAAGGUGUGUUUAUCUUGCUAUAAUAUGAUAUUUAUUCAUUAUUUUUGUUAGAUUUACAUUUGCUCAUUUAAUUUUUUUUUUGGUCAUGUUAUUCAUUAUAUAUUUACAUAUAAUAUGAUAUAUUUGCUACUGGACAAACCACCAAUAUUCUAUUGUAGCUGUAUUGAUACAAAUGCAAACAAUCUUUAUGGGUCAAUCAGUCCUGUCACCUGUAUAAUGUUGUGUGUCCAAUGUUGAUAAAAAUUAAGAUAGGUGUACAUAUUUGAGGUCCAAGUGCAACCAUAAUGUAAGAACUUAUUAUUCUUCAACAGUUAUGCACACUCUAUCAACAAUAACUCUACUGACAUAGCUAUCUUAAUGAAGGUCCCCGUUUUAUUAGUACAAGAAGUUGAGAGAAUCUUUAGUUGAAUAAACUACAUAUUGUUAAUUUUUAAUAAAAAAGUAUAAUAUGACAUAAAUACAUAAAUAUUCUUCUUAUUUUGAUGUAUCUAUAUCAUCUUUUAUUUUUGAAACUAAAAGAGUAUCCAAACUUAAUCUGAAAUUAAGAUUUAUGUUAAAAUUCUCAUGUGUAAAUAACUAUUAUCAUAUUUCAUGUUUCUGGUGAACACACGUUUGAAUGGGUUUACGCUAGUAAUUUUGGGGCCCUUUAUAGCUUGUUGUUCGGUGUGAGCCAAGGCUCCGUGUUGAAGGCCAUCCAUUGGCCUAUAAUUGUUUACUUUUAUAAAUUGUUAUUUGGAUGGAGAGUUGUCUCAUAGGCACUCAUACCACAUCUAUCUAUAUCUAUUAUCAUAUUUCAUGUUUCCAGUGAACACAUUAGUUUUAAGUCAAUUAUUGAAUAGAUUGUACAGUAUAUUAGCUUUCAGAUUAUUAUUCAGGAAAGUCAAUUAUAAUUUGAAGGAUUGUAAAUAAAACUGUUUGUGUUGUGUCCAUAUAAAAAUACCGGUAUUUUACAUGUUUAAAAAUUCUCUAAGCUACACUAUGCCAUCUCCAUUCUUACCAUUUAUUAUAAACUGCUAUUCAUUUAGUUUGGGGAUUGGAAGUAAAAAUCAUUAUUAUACUGUAAAUUCAGAAACUAUUGCAUGCAUUGAUUAUUGCGAUUUUGUCAUGUUAGGCUUAAAUGCGAUUUUAAUUUUUACGAUUUUUGGAAAAAUCCUGCUUAGUUUAUAUAAAAUCAAAAUAAAAAAUGCGAGUUUGAAUUAUUUCGUUCACAACUCUGUCGCGAUUUUCACAAUAAUAAAAACCUCGCAAUAAUUUUUGAAUUUACAGUAGUGCUGUUGAUUUACAUUUCAAAAAUUAUUCUUUUGAAAAGAUACUAUCAAAAUAAACUGGUAUAUAAUGAUUACAAAUUUAAUGUGAUAUAUGAGUGGUUCUCAGCAAAGCAUACACUGUAAAAUUUGGGAUUAUUACAGAAUUUUAAAACUCAAGAUCUGUCUUGUUGUUUAAGCUUGGAGCAUCACUGAAGGGACAUAUGUGAUCUAAAUGGACAUCUAGUGGAGUAAAAUUGAUGCCAUAUCUUUAAUAUGUGAUUCUAUUUAAUGUAGACUAUAUGCCUUCAAAACAUUUAAAAAGUGGAUUUACUUCAUAUGUAUAAGAAACUUAAAGACUCAAUAACAUGAUGGUUGGUUAAACCUGAUCCCUUUUUCGUCCUUUAUCCAGAUUUUUCAUAAAAUGUUCAACUUUUCAAAGGGUAUCAUUUUUUUCAAAUUUGUAUAUUUGAUUAGCAAAAAGUAUGUUGAUAAAUAAAACAAACAUGCAUAAAUAAUCUGUCAGAGCGCAUUAGGUACCACCUGCCUCUUAUUAUUUCAAUAGCAUGUUUCAAACAUUCACAUUACCGAUUUUAAGGAUUAUAUCCCAUGACCCAGGUCUACCCCUUAAGGGCAUACGAUACAGUUACAAGGCAGGUAAUGACGUUGCUAACGUAAAUUGUUAUCUUUGCGACAUCAAACUGACUUAUCGGGAAAUGAUUCAGUUUUCGACUGAUUUUUAUCGUUCAAACUGAAUUAUCUUAAAAAUGAGUUCAUGGACCCCUCUUUUUUAAAAUGGAUUGAUUACGGGAGAAGAUUAUGUGUGCCAUUUUUCAUGAAAACGUAAAUGGUGCAAUUUUUUUAAAUUUGAUAAAUAUACAGAAAAAAAUGAUGUUUUUUUCUACAUUCAUGAAAAUUUGAUAAAUAUGAGUUAUUUCUGAAUCAAAAAUGUAUGAAUUUUUAGAAUACUUAUAAAAAACAGAAAUUGCAAAUUAUUUAACAAAAAACAAUUUGUGUUUAUCUUUUUAAACAAAAAAGUUAUGACAUUUUUCCGAAAGGGGAAAAUACGGCCACAAAUCCAAAUUUUUAGCAAAUAUUCAAAAUUUCAACCUCAUUUUACUCAAAAAGUAGCGCAUGAAGGUAUAUUUUUUAUUACAUAUUUGAUUAUCAGGUAAAAAUAGUCUUAUAUUGAAAUUUUUAUCAAAAUGUAUAUACUGGAUCAAAACUGUAUAGUAUGCCCUUAAAUUUUAAUUCAAUUGGAUUUUAUUUUUACCAUCUUUUAAUUCAAAUGAUAUUUUUAUUUUAUUGCUUCCCCGUCUCUUACCAAUUAUUUAACUAUUGGUCUGAUAUACACUUUUAUGUUGUUUCAGUAAGAUUUUUAAAUUAAAAUAUAUUUUCAUAUUUUUUAUAAAAAAUCAUCAUCUUUGUAUAAUGUUCAAUUCAUUGUUUUAUGUAACAAAUCACAUAAAAAAUAUACUUAUAUUAUAUAUGGUUAUACAGUAACUGUAAUUUCAGAAAAAAAUGUGUGCAUUUAUUAUUAAAAAAUCCUUGAGUGCUGGCAAAAAUCAUAAAAUGGAAAUAAUGAUAUUUCCAAACUUUGAUGAAGGUUGAUUAUUUUAGAAUUUAUGGACACAAUUUAUUAUUGCGAAUCAAUAAAAACUUUUUAAUAAUUUCUGAAGUGACAGUUUACAGUAUAUUUAUCAGAAUCUUUUUAAUAUACCUUUGUUUUUGUUGCUGAGAUAUUAAUAAACGAUAAACCA
rnacentral:lncRNA from 1 species